GCCUUGGUAGUUCAGUCAGUAGAGCGUAAGACUCUUAAUCUCAGGGUGGUGGGUUUGAGCCCCACGCUGGGCA